rnacentral:rRNA from 1 species
GUGGGGAAUAUUGCACAAUGGGGGAAACCCUGACGCAGCAACGCCGCGUGAAUGAUGAAGCCCUUCGGGGUGAAAAGUUCUGUCAAUGGGGACGAAACUUGACGGUACCCAUAGAGGAAGCACCGGCUAACUCCGUGCCAGCAGCCGCGGUAAUACGGAGGGUGCGAGCGUUGUCCGGAAUCAUUGGGCGUAAAGAGUUCGUAGGUGGUACGUUAAGUCAGGUGUUAAAUGCAGAGGCUCAACUUCUGUUCGGCACUUGAUACUGGCGAACUAGAAUGCGGUAGAGGUAAAGGGAAUUCCUGGUGUAGCGGUGAAAUGCGUAGAUAUCAGGAGGAACAUCGGUGGCGUAAGCGCUUUACUGGGCCGUAAUUGACACUGAGGAACGAAAGCCGGGGUAGCAAAUGGG